GACGAACGCUGGCGGCGUGCUUAACACAUGCAAGUCGAACGGAUCUGCCCUGUUUUUUGCGGGGUGGGUCAGUGGCGAACGGGGGAGUAACACGUGAGUAACCUGCCCCUCACUUCUGGAUAACCGCCUGAAAGGGUGGCUAAUACGGGGUGUUCUGGCUGUGCCGCAUGGUGUGGCUGGGAAAGAUUCACUUUUUUGGUGUUUUGGUGGGGGAUGGGCUGGCGGCCUAUCAGCUUGUUGGUGGGGUGAUGGCCUGCCAAGGCUAUGACUGGUAGCCGGCAUGGGGGGGUGGGCGGUCAUAGUGGGACGGCGAGGCGGCGCAGACUACGGCGGGAGGCAGCAGGGGAGGGUAUUGCACGAUGGGCGGAAGGCUGAUGCAGCGACGUCGCGGGAGGGAUGGAGGCCGUCGGGUUGUGAACUGCUUUCGGCGGUGAAGAAGGUCCUGCGUUUUGUGGUGGGGUUGACGGUAGCCGGGUCAUGAAGCGCCGGCUAACUACGUG
rnacentral:rRNA from 1 species